rnacentral:rRNA from 1 species
GACGAACGCUGGCGGCGUGCCUAAUACAUGCAAGUCGAGCGAGACUCUUCGGAGUCUAGCGGCGGACGGGUGAGUAACACGUGGGCAACCUGCCUGUAAGACUGGGAUAACACCGGGAAACCGGUGCUAAUACCGGAUAAUCCUUUUCCUCUCAUGAGGAAAAGCUGAAAGUCGGUUUCGGCUGACACUUACAGAUGGGCCCGCGGCGCAUUAGCUAGUUGGUGAGGUAACGGCGCACCAAGGCGACGAUGCGUGGCCGACCUGAGAGGGUGAUCGGCCACACUGGGACUGAGACACGGCCCAGACUCCUACGGGAGGCAGCAGUAGGGAAUCUUCCACAAUGGACGAAAGUCUGAUGGAGCAACGCCGCGUGAGCGAUGAAGGCCUUCGGGUCGUAAAGCUCUGUUGUUAGGGAAGAACAAGUACCGGAGUAACUGCCGGUACCUUGACGGUACCUAACCAGAAAGCCACGGCUAACUACGUGCCAGCAGCCGCUGUAAAAC